rnacentral:rRNA from 1 species
CUUACGAGGUUGGUCGCCAAGCAGUAAUCCCUGCAGUACUAGCGUAAAGAAUGUAGUAGUCGUGCUAGUCUCUGUUAAAUACUUCUUCUUAUCCCGCGGGCGAUGCUAAAAGAAAAACGGCACGACUAGAGGGAUAUGAGGGUGAAUGGAAACUCACGCAGUAGGGGUGAAAUCCCGUUGAUAUCAUGGGGAACACCAAAAAGCGAAAGGCAAUUCACUGGCGUAUUCUUGACACUGAAACACGAAAGCGUAGGUAGCGAAUGGGAUUAGAUACCCCAGUAGUCUACGCCCUAAACGAUGAUCGCUAGUUUUUCGGAGUAUCGACCCUCUGAGAGACGAAGCUAACGCGUUAAGCGAUCCGCCUGGGUAGUACGGCCGCAAGGCUAAAACUCAAAGGAAUAGACGGGGACUUGCACAAGCAGAGGAUUAUGUGGUUUAAUUCGAUGAUAAACGAAAAACCUUACCAAGAUUGGAAAUUUAACUGAAUACUCGGAGAAACUCGAGUAGUCCGCAAGGACAGUUAGACAGGUGAUGCAUGGCCGUCGUCAGUUCGUGAUUUGAGUUGUUCCCUUCAGUGGGGUAACGAACGCAACCCUCGUAGCCUGUUACAUGUGUCAGGCGAGACUGCCUCUUAUCAGAGGAGGAAGGUGAGGAUGACGCCAGGUCAGCAUGUCCCUUUGAUAUCUUGGGCUACACACAUAAUACAAUGGCCGGUACAACGGGUCGCGACGGGGUAACCCUGAGCUAAUCCUAAGAAAGCCGGCCCCACUUCAGAUUGGGGGCUGAAACUCGACCCCACGAAGUUGGAUUUGCUAGUAAUCGCGGGUCAGCCAUACCGCGGUGAAUACGUUCUCAAGUCUUGUACUCACCCCCCGUCAACUCAAGGGAGUUGGGAGUACCCGAAGUCCGCGCUUGUCGCGGCCUAAGGUAAGCUCAAUGACAGGGAGUAAGUCGUAACAAGGUAACC